rnacentral:rRNA from 1 species
GACGAACGCUGGCGGCGUGCUUAACACAUGCAAGUCGAACGGAAAGGCCCUGCCUUUGUGGGGUGCUCGAGUGGCGAACGGGUGAGUAACACGUGAGUAACCUGCCCUUGACUGUGGGAUAACUUCAGGAAACUGGGGCUAAUACCGGAUAGGAGCAGCUGCUGCAUGGCGGGGGUUGGAAAGUUUCGGCGGUUGGGGAUGGACUUGGGGCUUAUCAGCUUGUUGGUGGGGUAGUGGCUUACCAAGGCUUUGGCGGGUAGCCGGCCUGGGAGGGUGACCGGCCCCAGUGGGACUGAGGAGCGGCCCGUAGGCCUACGGGAGCCAUCAGUGGGGGUUAUUGCGCGAUGGGCCGAGGCCUGAUGCAGCAUCGCCGCGUGCUGGAGGACGGCCUUCGGGGUGUAAACCGCUUUCGCCUGUGACGAAGCGUGUGUGACGGUAAUGGGUAAAGAAGCACCGGCUAACUACGUG